ACUGAACAUGCUGGGUAGAAUCUGAUUUCCCCUAACCCAAUACAGGACUAUGAUGCUUUCUGUGGACCGUCUGCCCUGCUCCAGCCUGACCCCCAGACCCCCCUGCAUCUCAUCUCUCUGGUGGCUCCAGCCAGUCCGACUCACCGUGCAGCCAUCCUUCAGGACGUUAUAUGUGAACCUGCUGUUGCCCUCAGCCCGGAUCUCGACAUCGUUGGAACCCUGGAUGAGUAGGGCCUUCUUGAGGUUGCCAGCUGCUUCAUCCAUGUAGGCAAUGCUGUUUUUGCAGUGGUAGGUGAUGUUCUGGGAGCCCUCGGAGGACAGCAGGCGUAAGAAGGUCAUCUGGAUGUUGGCAGUGUUGGGAGCCAGGUUGUCAUCUCCAUAGCUGAACUGUUAGGGCACAGAGUAGUAGCAUGAGGCCUGGGAGCCUGGCAUUCAAUGGGAGUAGGGGGCCCUAGAAGCUGCCAAUUGUCCAGUGUCUCUGCAGGGGAGUGCUGGGGAGCAGGUAACUGGGCCGAUGUUUUUGCUUCCAGGAGUGGAGCAAACCUCUGAGGACCUUCCCCACCUCUAAAUGGGGGGAAAAAUUCUGCUUCUCUUUUUCCUUCCUCUUAUGCCCAAAGGAAAACUGGUGAGAAUGUGCAGGUGCUGAAAGCUUCCAGGGGGAAAGGAAGAUAAAGAUUUUUCAGGAGCCAUCGGGGACCCAGAACAAUCAGCAGCCAUCGUGAACCGCUUGAACCUAGGGAGGUCUCGGCACAGGGGAUGCCGUCACCCGCAGCUGUAGGCUGAUGCCCCUAGAGAGGCCCUGAGUACCAGCGAAUUCAAUCCUCCCUCAGGACACUUACAGCAGGGCCGGUUUCGCCUGAACGUCCACGGGGACCAGGAGGUCCAAUAGGGCCAGGGAUUCCAUUAGCGCCAUCUUUACCAGACGGACCCACAGGGCCAGGCGGACCCUGCAGGAGAGAGGAGAAGUGGGCCAGAAGGACCAGCGGGACCAGAAGCACCUUGAUCUCCAGAAGGACCCUGUGUAGAAGGAAGAGGCAAAGGUCAGAGGUCAGCACAUUCAGGGCAUCCAGGCCUUGGAUGUGUGUGUGUGUCCUACAAGGUGGGGGAGCAGGUACAUGCCCCACCCCCAUUCCCUUCUCCUUCCUCCUCCCUCCAAUCCUGAGAAAGUUCUGGAAAUUUCUUGGGAUGAUCCCAAGAUGUCUUAGCAUGAGAAACUCAAGUGGGCUCUGAGCAAG